rnacentral:lncRNA from 1 species
CCCAGGGCGUCUGGGCUGCCCCAGCCGCCGGCGUCAGGACCCGGGCCGGGGCAGCGCGGGACGCAGCGCCCAGCUGGGGGUGUCUGGGGGGGCGGGUUGAAUUGCGACGACGGCCCCCCGGGCCUUCCGUCAAACGCAGGUCUAGGUGCGCGGGUGCAGCCCUCCAGCAGGGGGCUCCGACGCGGGCAAGGUCCCCUGGCCUUGACCUUGGCGAGCCCUUGAACAGCAGGUACCUGCGCGGGCUGGUCGCAGGAAGGGAAGGGACUGGGCGGCGGGGAGCGCCUGCGGGAGCAGAGGGCCCCGGCUGACCCCCGCCCGGGCCAGGGGGCCGGGAGCUGCAUUUGCCUGGCCCGGGCUCCCAGGAGCAGGCGGAACCCCUGCUUCCCAGGAACGCCCUGCGAGGGCCUCGCCUGGCCUUGGCUUCUGAGGGCCAGAGAGAAGCCAGCGAGCUCUGCAGUUAGAGCCCCAUCGUUGUGCCCCGGCGGGCCCUACGGGAAUCCUGCCGGUUUCAUUUGACCUCUGCACGGGAUGGAUGGAAGCCUUGGGUUACGUCCCGUUCUCACGCUGGGUUCACGCCCGGCCACUUUUGUUUGCUUAUAACACACCCUGAGCCCACCAUCCAGAGGAAGCCAAGGUGCCCAGGUGGGAAGUUUUGCCUGGACGAGGGGAGUCUCUUCCCGGCAGUAGGUUUCUCUCCUCCUUGGCCUCCCCAGCUCCACACCAAAAAGAACGUUCUCGGUUACAGCUGCUGUAACAGAUCUGAAGGCGUCUGCCUUAAACCUGGAAACCAGGGAAACAUCUUCUCUAAAGUUUCAAGACUAAAGAGUUGGGAAGCGGACGUGGCUCAACUGAUAGAGCAUCGGCCUACCAUAUGGGAGGUCCAGGGUUCAAACCCCGGGCCUCCUGACCCAUGUGGAGCUGGCCCACGUGCAGUGCUGACGUGCGCAAGGAGUGCCCUGCCACGCAGGGGUGUCCCCCGCGUAGGGGAGCCCCACGCAAAAGGGGUGUGCCCUGCAAGAAGAGCCGCCCCACGUGAAAAAAGUGCAGCCCACCCAGGACUGGCUCAGCACACAGGGAGAGCUGACGCAGCAAGAUGAUGCAGCGACAACAAAAAGAGAUGCAGUAUCCCGGUGCCACCUAUGGUGCAAAUGGACACAGAAGAACACACAACGAGUGGACACAGAGAGUGGACAAUGGGGGUGGGGGAAAAAUAAAUAAAUCUUUAAAAAAAUAAAAAAGACUAAAGACUUUCCUUUAAACAGAAAAAAGCCAGCGGCCUGAGACGGAGAAAAGCAGAGCAGAGGAGGAACUGCUCCCAAUGGCGGGCCUGGCCGGGGGCCCAGAGUGGCCGUGCCCUCGCCCACCUGCCCUGAGCCUCAGCCUCCCAGCUGCCUGCUCUGUGGAUGGCCAGUUCUGAAUUUCCUUUCUGGAAAGUGACGCAUCUGGACAACGCAGCAAACACUCUUUGAUCCAGAUGUCUUUCUCAAAAACUGGGCGGAAGGCACGCCAAGCGUUUAGAAGGGCUGUGCAGACGCUGUGGGCGAGCGGUGGCGGAGCGGCUGGCUGGCGGGGAGGGA